rnacentral:tRNA from 1 species
GCCUCCGUAGCUCAGUGGAUAGAGCAGGUGGUUUCUACCCACCGUGCCGCGGGUUCGAUUCCUGCCGGGGGCACCC